rnacentral:misc_RNA from 1 species
GAUGAAGAACGCAGCGAAAUGCGAUACUUGGUGUGAAUUGCAGAAUCCCGUGAACCAUCGAGUCUUUGAACGCAAGUUGCGCCCGAAGCCACUAGGCCGAGGGCACGCCUGCCUGGGCGUCACACGCCGUUGCCCCCCCAUCUACUCCUUCGGGAUUGCGGGGGGGCGGAUGAUGGCCUCCUGUGCGCCUAGCCGCGCGGUUGGCAUAAAUACCAAGUCCUCGGCGACGCACGCCACGACAAUCGGUGGUUGCGAAACCUCGGUUGCCCGUCGUGUGCGUUCGUCGCGCAUCGAGGGCUCGAAAAAAUGCUCGGCUCCGGCUGGGCUUUCAACGCGACCCCAGGUCAGGCGGGGUUACCCGCUGAAUUUAAGCAUAUCAAUAAGCGGAGGA